rnacentral:rRNA from 1 species
AGCGAACGUUUGCGGCGGGCCUAACACAUGCAAGUCGAACGCACUAGCAAUAGUGAGUGGCGCACGGGUGCGUAACACGUGGGUAAUCAACCCUUCAGCCUGGGAUAACGACUCGAAAGGGUCGCUAAUACCGGAUACGGCGCGAGAGGCUUCGGCUUCUCACGAGAAAGCCACGCAAGGGGCACUGAAGGACGAGCCUGCGGCCCAUCAGCUAGUUGGUGAGGUAAGAGCUCACCAAGGCUAAGACGGGUAGCUGGUCUGAGAGGAUGAUCAGCCACACUGGAACUGAGACACGGUCCAGACUCCUACGGGAGGCAGCAGUGGGGAAUAUUGCGCAAUGGGCGAAAGCCUGACGCAGCCACGCCGCGUGAGCGAUGAAGGCCUCGGUCGUAAGACUCUGUGGGAGGAGACGAAGAAAGACCUGUGAAGAGCAGGCCUUGACGGUAGUCUCCUUA